ensembl:lncRNA
CUAGCGGGCGCGGGGCCUGCUGGCUGCGGCGGCCAUAUUGUGGGCGGCCAUGCGGCUUCGGGGAGGCCGCCGGGAGCAGGAUGUGGGGUGACUGGGGUGCGAUGUAACGUCCUGUGGUGCACCCCUGGUCUCCAGAGAGGGGGACCCUCCGCCCUCCACCCCAGGCCACCUUCUGUGCUGAGACAAAUCGCCUUCCCAAGUACCAUAUCGCUUCAUCAGCACAGCAGCCUCCGGCAGGGAGUGACGGCCCAUCUUUCGGAGAUGGAGGCUGAGGCUCCACAGGGCUGCAACCCACCCACCCCUUGAGAGGCCUGGAGGCUUGGGGCGGGGGAUCCCAACAGCCCUGGUCCCUUGUCUGGAAUCACAGAAGCUGGAACCCUGGGGAGAUUGUGCUCAGAUGCUCCAUUCAACAAUUUGUCCAUUUCACGCUGUCCCAGCAUUUAUCGUGACAUGAAACAGAGCAAAGUGACUGCUCAUGGAGCAUGCACACAGCACCAGCAGCGUGCCCUCAGAUGUAGCCUCAGGGCUGGGCUGGGGCCUUUGGGUCAUGGCGAGACCGGAAAAAUCAGUCGACUUGGUGAUGGAUGGGGCGUGACGGAGGCCCCCAGGUUUGCCCUCCAGAAACCACAGUCCAGGAGGAGAGACAAAUCAGUAAAGAAUCAGCGUGCUGGAGACAGGCGGCCUGGGGUCUCAUCUAGGCUGGAAGGUUGGGGAAGGAAGGCUUCCUGGAGAAGGUGACUGUGCCCGGAGCCUCAGCAGAUGAAUAUAAGUUCACCAGGCAAAGAAAUGAAGGGAGAAGGCGGGAAAGGAGCUGGCAUUGGGGGUGAAUCUGGGAAGAAGGUGAGCGGUGUGUGCUGGGGUAGGGAGGCCCCACCAGGCCGGUGCACUGGAUUAGGGUGGGGCAGGAACAGUGGGAGAACUAGGCACGGGGGAGGGGCAGUGUGGGCUGUAGAGGGCAGGGAGGAAGGGCUCCUGAAGACCCAGGGUGCCCUGAUAAGGUACAAGGACUGCAUCCUGAGGGCAGAGGAAUGGUCACUGAAGGAUUUUAAAGGGGUCCGAUUUGUGUUCUAGGAAGAUCUUAUGGGCUGGGUUUAUUACAGUUUUCCCAGCACCCAGCUCAGUAACGGGCUUCCCAGGUGGCGCUAGUGGUAAAGAACACAUCUGCCAAUGCAGGAGACGUAAGAGACAUGGAUUCGAUCCCUGGGUUGGGAAGAUCCCCUGGAGGAGGGUAUGGCAAUCCACUCCAGUAUUCUUGUCUGGAGAGUCCCAUGGACAGAGGAGCCUGGACAGAGGAGUCGGACAUGACUAAAGUGACUUAGCAAGGACUCAGCUCAGUAACUGGUCCACAGUAGGGUCUCGAUAAAUGUUUUCCAUCAAUACAUGAUUACAACUGGAGGCAGUGGUUGACUCCAGCUGCGGGACCUUGGGCCUCAGUUUUCUUAUUUGUAAAAUAAGGGUAACAGCAUCUGCCUCCUGGAAAUGUCGUGAUGGUUAAAGAAAGCAGGGCAUGCGAGGGCUCCCUCGGUGUCCUGCACAUGGUCAGCCUGUCAUGACCGGCACUGGAGGUGCUGUGGACAAGGUGGAGGUGGGGACUGGGCUCAGGAGUAGUGGAGUCACCUAAGGGAGAGAGUAAUAUUAAUAGCAACAAUAAUGCUUAUCAAGAACUUAAGCUGUUCAUAUAUUUUAUUCAUAUAGUCCUCAAGACAAGCGAAUGGCGAAGGCAUUCUUUUAUAGGACAUUUUAUUUUAUCAUCUACCGAGGGACAGCAGGGCCUGGUGUGCUGCAGUCUACAGGGUUGCAAAGAGUCGGUGACUGAACAACAAUUUUAUUGUCCAGGAAUCUGAGGCUCAGACAGGUGAGGUGACUUGCCUGAGGCUCCUUGGCCGGUGAGUGGUGGACAGAACUGCAUUGGAGACCAAAGCCCAGCAGUGGACAUCAGAACCCAGCUUGUGACCACUAAACUGGUGAUGGAGGCAGGUCGGGGUGACCAGCAGGGGAGGGAGAGUGGGGAGGACACAGUCAGACUGAUGGACCAGGUGGCAGGGGUGGGGGAGCAGGCAUGGGGGAAAGGUGCCCCUCGUGUCUGGUCUGGAUGACCAGGUGGACGGUCAUUCCAUUUCCUGAGUGAGGGGCACGGCGUGGGAAGGACAGGCAGGCUUGGGGAGGAAGGGAACUCUCAGUCUGAAAGGCUGUCGGGAUGUCUGGAUGGGGAUGCCAGGGAGGUCUGGCGUCCAGGCUGGGGGUCUGGAUGAGGGGAAAUGAGCUCACAGGGCAAGUGGAAGGCAUGUGGACGGGCGGAGGAGCCCAGGCCCUGGAGAUGAUGUCGACAGCAGACUUUAUACAGCGUCUACUCUGCACCAGACAUGAUCCCAAGUCCAGGUGUUAUUUAAAUUUUCUGACCAAACCCUGUGAGGAGGAACCAUCACCACCCCUGUUUUAUAGAGGGGGAAACAGGCAAGAGCUCAGUCUAGAAUGUCCAGAGCAGGUACAUCUGCAGAGACAGAAAGUAGACUAUGGUUGCCUCGGGCUAGGGAAUUGAAAAAUGGUGGCUGAAGGGUACAGGGUUUCUUUCUGGGGGUGAUGAAAAUGUUCUGAAAUGAUAGUGCUGCUGAUGGUUGUACAACUGUAUAAAUGCACUAAAAAACAUUGAAUCGUGUACUUUAAAUACGUGAAUUGUACAGUACAUGAAUUACACGUCAAUAACGCGGGCUUCCUUGGUGGCUCAGUCUGUAGAGAAUCCGCCUGCAAUGCAGGAGACCUGGGUGCGAUCCCUGGGUUGGGGAGAUCCCCUGGAGAAGGAAAUGGCAACCGAUUCCAGUAUGCUUGCCUGGGAAAUCCCAUGGACAGAGGUGCCUGGAGGGCUACAGUCCACGGGGUCGCGAGAGUUGGACACGACUGAGCAACUAAACCACCACCAAAGCUGAGAGAACCAGCUGUGUAGCACAGAGAGCUCAGCUUGGUGUGGGAGGGAGAAGGUGUAUGUACACAUAGAGCUGUUUCACUUUGUUAUGCAGCAGAAACUCACAUAACACUGCAAAGCAAUUAUACUCCAAAAGGAGAAUCCGGUGACACAAAAAGCUGAGAGAGAAAAAUACAGUGAGCAGUAGGAGGAGGCAGGGCUUGGAGGGGCAGGGGAGCUUUGGGAGCUGGAAGGAGGACAGGGGGGCAGGGAAGCCCGGGCGUGGGGCAGAGGCAGUUUGGGUGAGAAGUUUGGGCGAGAAGCUGGAGAAGGAUGCCGUCUGCAGCGCUCAUUUACUCCCAGCUGGUCUGGGGCUGACACCUGCACAUUCUUUGGCGUUAGUCAGUCCAGGUUCCCUGGUGACCUGGUCCACACUGGCGGGGAACCCAGCCCUGUGGGUGAUCGGGCCCUCUUGGGAGAGGAGAUCUCGGAGGAGCAAGGCGUCCUUUUAGACCUGGACAUCCAGGCCCCUGGAUGGAGAUUUCUCCACCUCAGGAAGCAGCUGACCUUCCACCAGCAGUUUUUGGAGGCUCGCUGCCCUUGACUUUGGGGGUAGAGGUUGGGGAGGGCUGAGGGUGGGAAUAUGCCUCAGUUGGGUCUUCCUGGAGGACUGAGAGCCCCAGUCAACAGCUCACUUGGAAGCCUCACACCUCAGCCUUUCCCUUAAGAGGGCUCCGGUGUCUGCUGGGAGACCAGCAGGCCGAGAGGCUGUGAAGUGAAGGCUGGGGUGCCACGGUGCCUCUACCCCUCGACACCGAUGGCGGUCACCAGCAGGAAGACACCCAGGCCUCCCGACUGAGAAGGGGUGAUCCAAACUGCCCCGGUGCCCAGGGCUGUAACUGGCCCGUGGUCCCAGCCACGGGUGGAGAUGCGUGGAGAGGCUCCAGGGGUACCCUGGGUGUGAGCGGGGCAUGGGGUAUCUGAAGAGUGGGCGAGGCGGUGGCUGUGGGCAGGCCAUCAUGCCUCUUCUGUGCAGGGGUCCAUUCAGUACUGCUGCCCCCCACCCCCUACUCUAGACCUCAGGCCUUGUAUUUCUGAUGCAGAAGGCCGGCAGGGAGACCGGGCCAGCCCUGCGUUCAGGACCUCCGUGGGGCCUGGCUCCCCUGAGGGAGGCGGAGCAUCUGUCAUUGUCUCAGGAGACUGAGGCUCGGAGGGGCCUUGCUGGAGUCCUCCCACCCCCAUCAGGCACUUCUCCUUGGGGAGCCCCUCACGAGCCCACUCUGUGUCUAUUUCUUCUCCUUUUUGAAGUGACUGUGAUACCUUAGAGCUUUGAUUUCCUAGAUCAGAGCAGAAUAAGAGAAGAUCAUUAGAAACGUGCAGGGGCAGGAAUUCCCUAGUGGCCCAGUGACUAAGACUCUGUGCUUUCAAUGCAGGGGGUCCAGGUUCGAUCCCUGGUCAAGGAAGCAGAUGCUAUAUGCUACAACUAAAGAUCCCGCGUGCUGCAAUGAAGAUCAAAGGUCUUGUGUGUGGCAACUAAGACUCAGUGCAGUCACAUAAUAAAUAUUUAAAAAGAAGAAAUAUACAGGGAGAAAGAGAAAUGGUUGCAAAAAUCUAAACAUUUGCUAAGAGGGUCUGUGGUAAAGACUAUGGACUUCCCUCAUAGCUCAGUUGGUAAAGAAUCUGCGGGGAGUGCAGGAGACCCGUGUUCGAUUCCUGGAUCAGGAAGAUCCCCUGGAGAAGGAAAUGGCAACCCACUCCAGUAUUCUUGCCUGGAGAAUGCCAUGGACAGAGGAGCCUGGCAGGCUACAGUCCAUGGGGUUACAUGAGUCGGACACGAUUUAGUGACUAAACCACCACCACCGUCUGUGGUAAAGAACCCACCUGCCAAUGCAGGAGAUGCAAGAGACAUGGGUUCAAUCCCUGGGUUGGGAAGAUCCCCUGGAGGAGGGCAUGGCAACCCACCCCAAUAUUCUUGCCUGGAGAAUCCCAUGGAUGGAGGAGCCUAGCUGGUCACAGUAUAUAGAGUCGAAGAAAGUCAGACACGACUGACCACGCACACACCAAGAGAGGACCCCGAGCCACCAGGCAACCACAGGCCACCUGUGGGCACUGCCAGGUGGCUGACCCCAGGACCCGCUGAAUGCCUGUCACUGCUGAAUGCCUUGGGACAUUCAGUGCAGGAGACCCAUGUUCAAUUCCUGGGUUGGGAAGAGGGGGAGGCUGCAUUUGUAGGACAUUUUGUUAAAGCAAACUGGGUAUAAAUAAGGAUUUAUGCCCACGGAUGUCUGUCGCAACUGGCCACCACCUCAGUGUUCAGCAGUAUUGGGGCUUGUUGAAAUGAAUUAUAGCACUUCCUAUGACAGAAUAUGAUGCAGCCAGUAAAUAUGACACUUAGCAAAAAAUUGUAAUUACAUAGGAAACGCUUUUGGUGUAACAUAAAAUCAGGAUAUAAAACGAUAUGUGCAUGUAUGUUAUGUCAAUAAAAAGGAAAAAGAAAAAACUAAAUGCUGUGAGCUCAACUUCAUUUAAAGACAUAUAAGGAAAAAGUGGAAAGAAAACGCCCCCAAAUUCUAACCUUAUUUAUAUCUGGCUGGUGAUUUUUAAAUUUUUAGUACUUGUUCUUUAUUGUAUUUCCAAAUUUCUACACUAAAUACUUUCAAGUUUUAAAGUUAUUUGAAAUAAAAGUGAAAACUGUAUCCUGUAUUUAA